UUUUUAUUGAGGUUUCUUUUCUUUAUUGCUCUUCCUCUCCCCUGCUAUUGUUUUUGGUUUUGUUUGUGCAUGCCUCUCUGCCAAAGAUAACAGACUGGAGUAUGUUUUUCCACAUCUUUCUCAGACACAUGCAUACGACCACAUUUAGUGUUGAUUUGCAGAGAACACUAUUCAGUUCUCUGCCCUUUGAUGCAAGGAGCUUGCACACUUUAGGCUUCACUCCGGACCUACUACAUCAAACCCCUUUGAGUGCGAAGCCAGAACUUUGUGUUUCUUUCUUUCUUUUUUUCAAAUGUGUGUGUCUUUUAGGGCCUCACCCAUAGCAUAUGGAAGUUCCCAGGGUAAGGGUCAAAUUGGAACUGCAGCCACAACAAUGCCAGAUCCCAGCUGCAUCUGUGAUCUACACCAAAGCUCACAGCAACGCUGGAUCCUUAACCCACUGAGCAAGGCCAGGGAUCGAACCCACAUCCUUGUGGAUGCUAGUCGGGUUUGUUAACCACUGAGCCACGAUGGAAUUCCAGCAAUCUGUGUUUCUAAUCCUCAACCUAGGAUUAGAGGUUCUGCUACUGCUAGACCGGCUCCAAUAAGUUAAGGAAGACUGGCUAGUAAAGGCUCAUGUGGCUGUGGGCAGAAGGGGUCAGGAAGAGACCCACGACGAUCUUGAGGAUAGGUUAACAAGUGAGGGCCUCCAGGUAAACAGCCUAUUGCAAAAGUCAGAAACAGGAGACAGUUUCAGGCAUGGUCUGGAGAUGGCAAAUAGUGUGACUGGUUAGGAAGUGGAGUUGAGGUAUUGAUGGCCUUGAAUGCCAGCAUCGGGGCUUAAGAGUCAAAUAGUGGGUGGCAAGGACUCUUCCACGGGGAACUUUUUCUUUUUUUAAAUUUUUUUUCUUAAUUUUUUUGGUCUUUUGUCCUUUAGGGCCACACCCACGGCAUAUGGAAGUUCCCAGGCUAGGGGUCUAAUCAGAGCUAUAGCUGCCGGCCUACACCAAAGGCACAGCAACACCAGAUCCAAGCCACAUCUGCGACCUACACCACAGCUCACAGCCAUGCCGGAUCCUUAACCCACUGAGCGAGGCCGGGGAUCGAGCCCACAACCUCAUGGUUCCUAGUCUGAUUCGUUCUGCUGCGCUGUGACAAGAACUCCACGGAACUUUUGCAACCAAAAAGAACUCAGCCUGGAUAAUGAGAAUGGGGCAAACAUAUUAGUAAUCAGGCAACAAUAAUCAUUCAAUAGCAGGGAGCAUUUAUCAUGUGCCAGGCUCAGUGAUUUGUGUGUACUACUUGAUUAAUCCUCCUAACAACAAACGGGACAUAGUAUUUUCAUUCUCAUUUCACAGAAGAGGAAACACUGGGACACAGAGAGGUUAAACAAGUUGCUCAAGGUCACACAGCUGGUAAGGGGCAGAGCUAGGCUCAAACCUAGGCAGUCUGGCUUGAGUCUCCGCUUUUUUUUUUUUUCUUCUCAUUUUUGGCUGCCUGUGGCAUAUGAAGUUCCCAGGCCAGGGAUCAGAUAUGAA
rnacentral:lncRNA from 1 species